GGAAAUGAUUUUUGUAAGUCGCUUUGGACAAAAGUGUCUGCUAAAUGACUAAAU
rfam:Danio rerio chromosome 6, GRCz11 reference primary assembly.